rnacentral:rRNA from 1 species
GAUGAACGCUAGCGAUAGGCUUAACACAUGCAAGUCGAGGGGCAGCAUGGUCUUAGCUUGCUAAGACUGAUGGCGACCGGCGCACGGGUGCGUAACGCGUAUGCAACUUGCCUCACAGAGGGGGAUAACCCGUCGAAAGACGGACUAAUACCGCGUACACUUGGGAUAGGGCAUCCUGACCCAAGGAAAUGAAAUUCGCUGUGAGAUAGGCAUGCGUCCCAUUGGCUAGUUGGUGAGGUAACGGCUCACCAAGGCGACGAUGGGUAGGGGAACUGAGAGGUUGAACCCCCACACUGGUACUGAGACACGGACCAGACUCCUACGGGAGGCAGCAGUGAGGAAUAUUGGUCAAUGGGCGAGAGCCUGAACCAGCCAAGUCGCGUGAAGGAUGACUGUCUUAUGGAUUGUAAACUUCUUUUAUACGGGAAUAACAAGAGUCACGUGUGGCUCCCUGCAUGUACCGUAUGAAUAAGCAUCGGCUAACUCCGUG